AGAGGGAUUAUUUGCCCACUUAAGCCACCUUGUGUCAGCAAUAGCUAUGCAUGCCAUAAAGAAUAAAAGUCCCAUAUUCAUAUUGUGCUAUAUUGUAGAUGAUUACGUAAAGAGGUUAAAAAAAAACUUUUAAAAAAAAAAAAGUCCAGAGGUUCAUGCUGUCUCCCCCAGAUCCCCUCCCUACUGAACAGGCGCCCCGACCAACCAGUAGGAGUCGCUAAUGCAAUGAUCAGGACUCAUUCCCUCACCGGCUUCCCACCCACGAAAACUGCCUAGUCAACUAGCUACAUUUUCAAAGUAGCUUAACCAACCCUAUAUUUUAAUCCUCGUAGGUUUGCCACAUAUGACCACCUGAUGGCGAUCUAGAGGCUCAUAGAGCCGUCAUCAUGCAACAUGAUCCAUGUAACCAGAGCCAAGGCAGCAGCAAAGAAGAACGAUGUCAUUCUUCCACUCAAUUUUGCGACACAAACUCUGCAACUAAUUGAUAAGUUUUUCCUCUUCAUGAACCACUUAGCUCUUGGUUUGAAGCACAGGGAUCUGGCCCACAGAUUUCAAAUACACCAGUCAACCCUGAGUCGCUUUACUGUAACAUAGGCCAACUACCUCUUCACCAUACUUGGGUCAGUGAAAAUCUGGUUGUCUGAGGAAGAGGUCAGGCUAACUUUCCAAAGGUGUUCAAGGAGUAUGCGGACACACAAGUUGUGCCAGACUGCACAGAACUGCGCUGCCAAACACCAUCAUCUCUGAUCCUUCAAAGUGAAGUAUACUCCACUUACAAAUCCCACUGUACCUUCAAAGGGAUGAUUGGCAUGGCACCACAUGGAGCAGUCACCUUUAUUUCAGCCCUGUAUGCUGCUUCUGUCAGCGGAUUCUGAAAGAGCAGCCGAUUCUGAAAGAGUCUGGAAUUGUUCCUUUGCUGAAGCCGGGAAUGGCAAUAAUAGUGGACAAAGGUUUUCUUGUAAAUGACUGUGUGCCCUGUAAAGUCUACAGACCACCUUUCCUGUACAAGGGAACACAGAUGCCAGCAUCAGAUGUGAGGGAGACCGAAGCAAUUGAAAGGCUGAGAGUCCAUGUUGAGCGACUGAUUCGCAGGUUGAAGGAGCACAAGCUGUUUGACAGUGUCAUCCCCCUCUCCACCAUUGGGAACUUCAACCAGCUGUACACAGUUGCAUGUCUCCUCCUCAACUACGAAAGUGGACCACUGGUCAGAGCUUGGGCAAAAUAGUCCUGAAAAUGCAUGCACACACACACACAGCCAUGCACAUACACACAAUCCAAUGGUAAAUCCAAUCAGUUUUUUUAUUGAAACGUCACAGUGACAUUAGUAUUGUUAAUAAUGAUGCUGGAAACAAAUUUGCAAAUGCAUUAAUUUUCAAGUGAAAAUGCGUAGGUGGCAAAAACAUGAAAACUUAGCCUUAUUAACUGCAACAUUCAAGUGUCAAUAUAUCAUAUUUUCAUUACAAUUCUGUACAUCAGUUUUGUGGUAAAAACACUGUGUUCUGUCACCCCUAAGCACCCUGCAUAAGCUGGCAGACAGAUAACUCCUCUUCCAAUUAUCACACUUCAUCAGUAAGUGACUGCUUCUCAAAGGCACAGAACACAUAUACAGAAUACGAAGACAACACACACUGAAAUUCAAGAUAGGUAGACAUAAAAAAUAAAUAGUCUGCCUUCUCCCUAAUUUCUUUAAUAACCGCAUUGUCUCUCUGGAUUCGCUGGAUGAACAUGUCCUCCUG